rnacentral:misc_RNA from 1 species
CCCUAGCCCAAAUGGCAGAGGAAAGCUUCGCCGAGCUAAAAGCUAUUUUUUCCUGACAGAAAAGAGCGACCAAAAGAAGCUCCUUUUAUGGCAAUAGAAAAAAAGCUUGGAGCUCAAGAACUUGAAACGAACAGUUGGAAUAGCU